rnacentral:rRNA from 1 species
UACAGAGGGGGCAAGCGUUGUUCGGAAUUACUGGGCGUAAAGGGCGCGUAGGCGGCCGCCUAAGUCAGACGUGAAAUCCCUCGGCUUAACCGGGGAACUGCAUCUGAUACUGGAUGGCUUGAGUUCGGGAGAGGGAUGCGGAAUUCCAGGUGUAGCGGUGAAAUGCGCAGAUAUCAGGAGGAACACCAAUUGCGAAGGCAGCUCGCUGGGACGUUACUGACGCUGAGACGCGAAAGCGUGGGGAGCAAACAGG